rnacentral:hammerhead_ribozyme from 1 species
AUCCAGACGACGAGUCCCAAAUAGGACGAAACGCGUCCCUGGAU